AACGAACGCUGGCGGCAUGCCUAACACAUGCAAGUCGAACGAGACCUUCGGGUCUAGUGGCGCACGGGUGCGUAACGCGUGGGAACCUGCCCUUAGGUUCGGAAUAACUCUCCGAAAGGGGUGCUAAUACCGGAUAAUGUCUUCGGCCCAAAGAUUUAUCGCCUUUGGAUGGGCCCGCGUUGGAUUAGCUAGUUGGUAGGGUAAAAGCCUACCAAGGCGACGAUCCAUAGCUGGUCUGAGAGGAUGAUCAGCCACACUGGGACUGAGACACGGCCCAGACUCCUACGGGAGGCAGCAGUGGGGAAUAUUGGACAAUGGGCGAAAGCCUGAUCCAGCAAGGCCGCGUGAGUGAUGAAGGCCUUAGGGUUGUAAAGCUCUUUUACCCGGGAUGAUAAUGACAGUACCGGGAGAAUAAGCUCCGGCUAACUCCGUG
rnacentral:rRNA from 1 species